rnacentral:rRNA from 1 species
AUUCCAGCUCCAAUAGCGUAUAUUAAAGUUGUUGCAGUUAAAAAGCUCGUAGUUGAAGUUCUGGUUGCUCGGGUCCUCAGCCUAAGGCGGGGAUACCAACAAUCAUCCGCUUGCAAGCAUAUGUUCGGCCUUAAACAGCUGGCUAUGUGAGUAAGCAAUUUACCUUGAGAAAAACAGAGUGUUCCAGGCAGGUUUGUCCGGGAUGCAUUAGCAUGGAAUAAUAGAACAUGACUGAAGUCUAUUGAUUGGUUUAAGGCUUUAGUAAUGAUUAAUAGGGACAGUUGGGGGCAUUCAUAUUCCAUUGUCAGAGGUGAAAUUCUUGGAUUAACGGAAGAUGAACUUCUGGGAAAGCAUCUGCCAAGGAUGUUUUCAUUA